rnacentral:rRNA from 1 species
AGGGGAAUAUUGCACAAUGGGCGCAAGCCUGAUGCAGCCAUGCCGCGUGUAUGAAGAAGGCCUUCGGGUUGUAAAGUACUUUCAGCGGGGAGGAAGGGAGUAAAGUUAAUACCUUUGCUCAUUGACGUUACCCGCAGAAGAAGCACCGGCUAACUCCGUGCCAGCAGCCGCGGUAAUACGGAGGGUGCAAGCGUUAAUCGGAAUUACUGGGCGUAAAGCGCACGCAGGCGGUUGAUUGAGUCAGAUGUGAAAUCCCCGGGCUUAACCCGAGAAUUGGAUCUGAUACUGGUCAGCUAGAGUCUUGUAGAGGGGGGUAGAAUUCCAUGUGUAGCGGUGAAAUGCGUAGAGAUGUGGAGGAAUACCGGUGGCGAAGGCGGCCCCCUGGACAAAGACUGACGCUCAGGUGCGAAAGCGUGGGGAGCAAACAGG